GAUGAAGAACGUAGCGAAAUGCGAUAAGUAAUGUGAAUUGCAGAAUUCAGUGAAUCAUCGAAUCUUUGAACGCACAUUGCGCCCGCCAGUAUUCUGGCGGGCAUGCCUGUUCGAGCGUCAUUUCAACCAUCAAGCCCCCAGCUUGUGUUGGGGACCUGCGGCUGCCGCAGGCCCUGAAAACCAGUGGCGGGCUCGCUGUCACACCGGGCGUAGUAGAUUUUAUCUCGCUCAGGGCGUGCUGCGGGUUCCGGCCGUUAAAAAGCCUUUUUUACCCAAGGUUGACCUCGGAUCAGGUAGGAAGACCCGCUGAACUUAAGCAUAUCAAUAAGGGAGGA
rnacentral:misc_RNA from 1 species